UUCUACAGUAGAGACAACCACAGUGCAGACAACAGCUGAAUGUCCUCCAACAUCGUCUCUACCUACGGAAUUCAGUUAUGAAGCCGCGAGAGGCGCGUACACCGAUUUGGCUGGUACCCUUGGCCCUGUCGUGAGUGAGGAGGUUGGGAUGACUACCUUCCUCAACGAUCUGAGUGCCUACACAGUAUAUGACGGCGUUCCACUCGCUGACCUGCCCGACACGUCAAACAUCAUCAUCCAACCAGAGCGCUGGGCUCUAACCUACACAGACCCGGCGAGACCAGGCGUCACCACAGCACUGUUCCUGCCUGAAACCACCAACUUUGACCCUAAGGUUGGGU